rnacentral:lncRNA from 1 species
UCUCAAACCAGAAGCCAAGAUGGACCUCGGUUCCUCUCUGUCCUUGUUCUGCUUUCCCAGGUGGAGCUGAGGUGCUGUCUGAAGCUGGUUGCCCGAGAUGCCAGGGCUGCUGCCUCGUCACUCUGCCCACUCUGGUGGCUGCGCUGCCAGGAGCAGCACGUCGUGUCACUUCUUGACGCGUGCCGCCUCCAGGGGAGAGACACCUCUGACAGCUGGCCAGGGAACGGCCCUGAUGGCAACUGUCAGAACACCCCAUAGCCUGCACUUUCGAGCAGGAGAGAGAAAAUUUCACUGCUGCAAUAAGACAACAGACAAUACGCUUGAAACUAAACUAACCUUAACAGGCACCGCAUGAAUCUGGUUUUGAAAUCAAUUCCAAGCAAAGCAGAUGAUUUUUGCAGGGCAGACAAUAUGUAAUGAAGACCAUCAAACCUCUCCCUGUGCCACAGCAUCUAGAGUGUGUCUCAUGCUGCCGCAGCAAACCAAAAGGGUAAGAACCCACAUCAAUAUCCACACAGGCAUAUCGGGAGGAUGGUGUCUUGUUUCUGUGUGACUGCCUGUGAUUCACUGCUGUCUUUUAUUUAUGGUUCCACAUUUUUUUCUUUGAGAGUUCUUAAUGUAUUCACAGACACACAAACACAAGGAUCAUUGAGUUACAAGCUGGGUUUAUUUACCGUUUGCAGCUAGUUCAGAUGGUAUGGCACUACUGCACAGCAUUUGAAUUUUAAGAUUAUAUACCAACAUUUCUUCUUUUCUGCACCCUGUCCCAGACCCAGGCAUGCACACGGAAUUUUAUUCUAACUUCUGGAAACUGAUUUCUCCAUAGAAUGCUUUAGGAUUAAAAAGGAAUUCUUUUUAAAAAACAGACAUUGAAAAAAUUCCCUAUAGAAGUAAUAGAAAGUACCCUGGGGAGAAAUAGGGUUAUGAAGAGGGAAAGUAUUCGGAGAAAAAAAGACAGAAAAGAACAUUAGAAAGUUCUGACACUAUUCUUUCAAAAAAAAAGUCAUAAUGAUGAUCUGUGCCUUUGAAAUGAAUAAAUGAAUAAAUGUUUUAGCAUUUCAAUCAGUAAAAUGCACAAACCUUGAAGAAAACGUGACACAAAAGCAUUGAGAGAUAAAAUUGAGUAAAAUGUCCUCAGUUAAUUUGAAAAUUUCAAUACACUCUGGAAAUUGCUGGCAAGCAGAAGAAACCUCACAGCCAUGCAAAUUGGAAUUUUCUUUUCCUAUGUGUUCAUGCUGAUGGUGUAAUUGCAUAUCUGAAUGUAUAUACUAGUAUUUAUAAUGGCUUUGAAUGUGUUGAUCUUGGACACUUUUCUUAUGUAACUUAUUAAUGUUAACAUUUUUUCCCAAUGCAACAUGAGCUACCAUAAGGGUCUCAGUCCUAAAGCAGCUUGAUUUCUUCGUAUUUGGUGUUCCAUGAGCAUAAUGAGGAGAGCCCGUUUUUGUCUGUUGCGGAGCUGUCGUUUAAAGUGGCCCCCACCUUCCACGUUUGCCCCAUCUGUCUUCCUUCAAGCCUGUCUUUGUUCUGCAGUGGAAAAUAUGGGCAAAGUAGAGAUUAAAAACAUGGAAACCACGGUAGAUUGAAAAAUAUUUGAAUAAUGCCCUUAAAAGUGGUUUAAUCUGGGAUUCUUGAAAAAAAAUAAAACUCAGAUGUAAAUAGUCUAAGAGUGGGUGGAUCUUGUUUCAAUAUGGGGACUAGUUUUUCUGGAAAGCUGGAUGCUCUUAACAUGAUUCCCAACCUUUGUGUCUUUGGGGAAGUAAGACUUAGUGCCUUUUAGGGAAUCAGGCUUGGGCCCUUGGCCAUUUCUCAUCUUGCAGGUUGCAGAGCUUUUGACACAAAAGUUAGCCAUUGUGAUUUGCAUAUUAGUGUAUUCCUUUGUGAUUUCUGAGCAGAGAAUAUGCCAUCUAUAAUAAGACUUCAUAUUUCUUCAAUUAAAAUACACCAGAAACCAACAUAAAAUUAGUCACAGCAUUCUUUAGUUACCUCUCCCCUAUGUUUCAGCAGUCAAGAAGACAAAGAACUGAAUAUUAAAUAGAAAAAAUUUGGUUCAACAGACCAAUAUUGCAGGAAAUUUGGGAGGUGAAAGAAGUGCCUAUCGGAUUCUUUGAAUUUAGUGCUCAAGAAAGGAAAAUUCACUGACAGUGUGAGUUACGGCCAUUCUUGAUUCAGGAGAGGAGCAGAAGUAUGACACGACAGCCUCUUUGUGUGUUGACUUUCAAGGGAAGGCACAUAGCUCCUGCUCAUGUAGGUUGUUCAUUGCGUCCUAUCUUGAGCAUUUCCUUUAUGGCACCCACUGUGGAGGUGGGAAGCCACCUGACAUGCCAGCUGAAAAUGUCACCUGAGAAUUAGUCAAUUUUCACAGGUUGCCUCUUCAUGUUUCAUAAGCUAAGAUGCCAAUGGACAAAGAGUUUGUAGGUAGAAGUGCACCUGGAUCACAUACACACUUAUAAUCUAGAAUUGCCAACUCCAUAUGUGUUACGAAAUUCAUAGAUCUGUUCUAAGCACACGUUUGUGAUGUAAAUUUUCAAAUUCUUUUUUUCUUAUGUUAAUGGCAUACUCAGAAAUUGGAAAGAGAUUCUGAAUGUAGAGUUCAAGUGCUUUACUUUUAUAUGGUAGGUAUACUUUUCAGUGUCAUCAUUUGCUAUUCGUCAAGUGACUAGAUUACUACUGACUCUUUUUGGGGAGAGGUUAAUGGAGUAAGAGAUACACUUUUUCUGAAAUUUUGGUGUUGUCAUGGGUUGUAGAGAAAAAGAGGGUGCACAUAUGGGUAUGCAAGGUUGCUUUUAAUUCAAAACAAUCUUGGGGAAUCAUUGGCUCCUUGAGAAACAUUAAAGAAAUGGUUCCUGGUACACCCUGGAUAAGAGAAGGGGUAAAUGGGUUUAAUGCUUUCUGCAUGGGCAAAAAGGACUCCCAGAGUCUUGUGUGGACUCUGGGAUGCAGGAUGAGGUGUUGUUGAGCAGUUGAGGAAGUAAAAAUUGUGGCAGACACUCCACGAUGUAAAGAAUCCAAGAUAGUACUGAUAGGUCAGUGUUUAGGAGGCUAGAAAAAGUGGAAAUCAGACAGGCUUAUUCUUCAAUAACAUUGCCAGCCAACUUCAUGACUGAGUCUAGCCUGGAUGACCUCCAAAUAUUCUCUUCUGAGAGUCUAGGAUUAUGAAACAACAAACAAAAAGGGGAUAAAAAAUACCAAAUUAAAAUAAUUAUGGAAAAGUGUUGUGAAAGUUGAAUGUGAUGAGUGUGAGGCGCUGUCUGGCAUUUAACACACAAUCAUAAAUGUGAACUGUUGCUGUUCUUAGAUAACUAUUAUAUGUAAGAUAUGAUAAUGACAUUAUUGUUAAUUAUUACCAUAAUCUUUUACAAAGAAGAAGAAUAGGCUUGGAGGUCCAGGGAGCAUUUCUGACCAAGUGAUAGUCUUUAAAAAUUACAACCAUAAGAAUGAAGAUGUCUUGGUUUUCAUCUAGUUAGAAACACCUACUGGGUUCUGAUUGUUUCCCACUGUGGUGAGAUUUUACUCUUAGGACUCUCAAGUGGAUUGGCAAGGAUAAUGGGCCAAACAAGGCUUGUGAGCCUCAGGGAACCUGAGUCACGCUAUCUAUGGCAAGAUGCCUGAACUAUGGACACUUUCAGGUUGUUUGGAAGCUCCAGUGUGAGAAUGAAGUCAGAACCCCUUCCCACGCUAUUUAGAAACUCUUUUCUCCUCCCAGCUGUGCCUAAAUUUAUAUCCUUUUGAAUAUCAAACAAACACAUCAGUUGGCUGUAUCUUCCUGUUCUAGGUUUUCUUUUCUUGGUCACACAGGGGUAAAGAAAAACCUAUGGGUGAGCCCCACAGCAAAACCCAGUGUCUAAACUGAGUAGGAAACAUCCUGUCAAAAAGAAAGACAACGUUCCUAAAUGCGACAAGUAAUGCUUCUCUAGAGCUGCGAAGAAAAGGCCCCCAGUACUUAUGUUUUGCUAUAUCCAUCAGCCAAAACUUGUUAGAAUUCCACGACAUGAAGUUACCGAGGAAUCUGAGAUGCCGAGAAUAGGGUUGGCACUGGGGCUGGACAGUAGGAGGGAUAUAUGUCAUAGGUGGAUACAAAUAACUAAGAGACAUCAUUCCUGCCCUCAAUAAAUUUCAAUCUAGAUGCCCUGUGUAUUUGCAAUGGUCCUUUAAAAUCCCCCAAAUAUAUUUUUAUCCUACUCAGUCCUACAACUUUAGGUGCUAAAUUGAUAGUUGCUUUUGGACUUGAAAUUUAAAGUUCCUAUGCUCAAAUCUCAACUCACCUUGUGUUGUAGUUACUUCCCUAAAAUGAAGUCGCCCAUCUCUUCAUCACCAAACUGGAAAUCUCAACUUUUUGAUUCCUCUUUCUUUCGCUCCCUGAGGUCAGACAGCUGCUGAGUCAGGUGGAUUAUUUGCCGGCAGGGUCUGUCUCAUAUCGCUACGUCUUUCCUACUUCCAACUCCAUUAUCCUAAUUCUUGUACUCAUUACUUUUAUUCCAAACUGCUCUCUGCACCUUUCCCUCCUAUUUGUUCCAGUCCUACCUACCUCCAACAGCUAGAUCAACAUUUCUAACGAAUUGAUCUAAGUAUGAUCAGAAAGGGAAAGUCACCUUGCUAAAACUAAGCAG